AACUUUUGGCAACGGAUCACUUGGCUCUCGCAUCGAUGAAAAAGGCAGCGAAAGGCGAUAAGUAAUGUGAAUUGCAGAAUUCAGUGAAGCAUCGAAUCUUUGAACGCAUCUUGCGCUCCUUGGUAUUCCGAGGAGCAUGCCUGUUUGAGUGUCAUCAAGUUCUCAACCAUAUCUCGGUGUGGCUUGGAUCUGGGGGUUCUGCAGGCUUCAAAGAAGGUCGGCUCCCCUGAAAAGCAUUAGCGGUGUCCGAGUACCUUUGGUGUGAUAACUAUCUAUGCCUUGGUGUAUGCGAUGCGUGCUGCUUCUGAACUUGCGUCUUGCGCAUCUAAUUGACAAAUUUGACCUCAAAUCAGGUAGGAUUACCCGCUGAACUUAAGCAUAUCAAUAAGCGGAGGCU
rnacentral:misc_RNA from 1 species